rnacentral:tRNA from 3 species
UUUUAUCUGGGUUGCUAACUCAAUGGUAGAGUACUCGGCCGACUAGUUCCGGGUUCGAGUCCCGGGCAACCCA